rnacentral:rRNA from 1 species
AUUGAACGCUGCGGCAUGCCUUACACAUGCAAGUCGAACGGCAGCACGGAGCUUGCUCUGGUGGCGAGUGGCGAACGGGUAAGUAAUAUAUCGGAACGUACCCUAGAGUGGGGGAUAACGUAGCGAAAGUUACGCUAAUACCGCAUACGAUCUAAGGAUGAAAGUGGGGGAUCGCAAGACCUCAUGCUCGUGGAGCGGCCGAUAUCUGAUUAGCUAGUUGGUAGGGUAAAAGCCUACCAAGGCAUCGAUCAGUAGCUGGUCUGAGAGGACGACCAGCCACACUGGAACUGAGACACGGUCCAGACUCCUACGGGAGGCAGCAGUGGGGAAUUUUGGACAAUGGGCGAAAGCCUGAUCCAGCAAUGCCGCGUGAGUGAAGAAGGCUUCGGGUUGUAAAGCUCUUUUGUCAGGGAAGAAACGGUGAGAGCUAAUAUCUCUUGCUAAUGACGGUACCUGAAGAAUAAGCACCGGCUAA